rnacentral:rRNA from 1 species
AUUGAACGCUGGCGGCAGGCCUAACACAUGCAAGUCGAACGGUAACAGGAAGCAGCUUGCUGCUUCGCUGACGAGUGGCGGACGGGUGAGUCAUGUCUGGGAAGCUGCCUGAUGGAGGGGGAUAACUACUGGAAACGGUAGCUAAUACCGCAUAAUGUCGCAAGACCAAAGAGGGGGACCUUCGGGCCUCUUGCCAUCGGAUGUGCCCAGAUGGGAUUAGCUUGUUGGUGGGGUAACGGCUCACCAAGGCGACGAUCCCUAGCUGGUCUGAGAGGAUGACCAGCCACACUGGAACUGAGACACGGUCCAGACUCCUACGGGGGGCAGUAGUGGAGAAUAUUGCACUAUGGGCGCAAGCCUGAUGCAGCCAUGCCGCGUAUGAAGAAGGCCUUCGGGUUGUAAAGUACUUUCAGCGGGGAGGAAGGGAGUGAAGUUAAUACCUUUGCUCAUUGACGUUACCCGCAGAAGAAGCACCGGCUAACUCCGUG